rnacentral:rRNA from 1 species
UUAAGUCGACCGCCUGGGGAGUACGGCCGCAAGGUUAAAACUCAAAUGAAUUGACGGGGGCCCGCACAAGCGGUGGAGCAUGUGGUUUAAUUCGAUGCAACGCGAAGAACCUUACCUGGUCUUGACAUCCACGGAAGUUUUCAGAGAUGAGAAUGUGCCUUCGGGAACCGUGAGACAGGUGCUGCAUGGCUGUCGUCAGCUCGUGUUGUGAAAUGUUGGGUUAAGUCCCGCAACGAGCGCAACCCUUAUCCUUUGUUGCCAGCGG